UUCUUCUUGUCAAAGAACUGCUCUGUUGAUCUUUCUUUCAAACAACAGACAAGGGUUGCGCCCGUUGCCAGGAUUUAACCUGACACCUCACGGCACGAGCUGACGACAGCCAUGCAGCACCUGCAUAAGGAUGCUUCUUUAAUACUAUUCUGUCUAAAGCUUUCAAAGAAAUCUCUUUCCUAAAUUAUCCUACUAGUCUAGAACUGGUAAGGUUCUGCGCGUUGCUUCGCAUUAAACCACAUGCUCCACCGCUUGUUCAAGCCUCCGUCAAUUUCUUUGAAUUUCAACCUUGCGGUCGUACUACUCAGGCGGAAUGUUUAACGCGUUAACUCUAACAAAGACACUUCCGGCCAUUGUUUAACAUUCAUCGUUUACGGCGUGGACUAC
rnacentral:misc_RNA from 1 species